UUUCGGACGGAAAGAGAGAGCAGCAGCGACGGGUGAGUAAAGCACAAGGACUUGUCCCGAAGAGGGGGACAACUGUGGGAAACCACAGCUAAUACCCCAUAAGCCGAGAGGUGAAAGCAGUAAUGCGCUUUAGGAGAGACUUGUGUCCUAUCAGGUAGUUGGUGAGGUAACGGCUCACCAAGCCGAAGACGGGUAGCCGGACUGAGAGGUUGUACGGCCACAUUGGAACUGAGAGACGGUCCAGACUCCUACGGGAGGCAGCAGUGGGGAAUAUUGGGCAAUGGGGGCAACCCUUCGACCCAGCGACGCCGCGUGAGGGAAGACAGCCGUUCGGGUUGUAAACCUCUGUUGCAGGGGAAGAAGAAAGUGACGGUACCCUGCGAGGAAGCUCCGGCAAACUACGUGCCAGCAGCGGC
rnacentral:rRNA from 1 species